AAGGUAUUUACUAUAUUCUCAAAGUUCCAUCAAACUUUAUUUAAUGCAAUAUAUUAAAUUCAAGAAACUAACUCUAUUUUUCAGGCUUCAAAAUUAACUCCUCUCAUCUAAUUCUUUACCAAAUUCUUCUCUAUUUUUUCCCUCUGUUAUAAUCACACAAUUAAUUCUGCACUUAAUUUCCCUUUCUCCUACACAUUAUAUAAAUCUUGUCAAUCUUUUUCGUUUUCUCCAAACAACUCCCUUUUGCCUAUACUAAAAAAUUCAGGGGAUUAUUGUCUUGUUGAUAAAGCUGUUCAAAAUGAACUACAGGAGGGAGAGUAUUCAUGAUCCAAAGCUUGAUUUGAAGCUGAAUUUAUCACCCCCUAGGGAAAAUAAUAAUAUGUUUCCAAUAUUAUCACCAAGCAGAUCAUCGUCUUCGUAUACUUCUUCAAUGGAGAGAUCACCAGCAAGUUCAUGUGUUUCAAGGGAACCAACUCCAGAUCAUCAAGAAUUUUUUGGUAGCCCUGAAGCAACAACAACUUCUAUGAUGUUAGUAGGAUGUCCAAGAUGCUUAAUGUAUGUUAUGUUAUCAGCGGAAGAUCCAAAAUGCCCCAAAUGUAAGAGCUCUGUUUUGCUUGAUUUUUUCCGCGAGGAUCGAAUCAAUAAUCCAAAGAAUUGAUGAUGAUCAUGAUGCGAUGGAAUCUUAAUAGUUCAGUUGGUUGACUUUCUGAAUUAUCAUGGUUGACUUUUUGAAUUGAACUGUCACCUUAUAUAACUAAUUAGGUUUUAGUAGUAUUUAAUUUCUUUACAUAUGUUGUAAUCCUUUUUGUUUUUUUUUUUUGAGAGUUUGUUGAGGUAAUUGAAUGGAUUUGAUGAAAAUCUUGAAUGUAAUCAAAAGAGGCUAGUAUGGUUGAUAUUAUGUUCAUCAUAUUAAUUCAUUCAUGUUUUAGUAGCUCUAAGUUGCUAUCUUUACUAAA